rnacentral:rRNA from 1 species
AUUGAACGCUGGCGGCAUGCUUUACACAUGCAAGUCGAGCGGCAGCGCGGGGGCAACCCUGGCGGCGAGCGGCGAACGGGUGAGUAAUGCAUCGGAACGUAUCCUCGAGUGGGGGAUAACCCAGCGAAAGUUGGGCUAAUACCGCAUGAGCUCUGAGGAGGAAAGCGGGGGACCUGCGAGGGCCUCGCGCUGGAGGAGCGGCCGAUGUCCGAUUAGCUAGUUGGUGGGGUAAAGGCUUACCAAGGCGACGAUCGGUAGCUGGUCUGAGAGGAUGAUCAGCCACACUGGGACUGAGACACGGCCCAGACUCCUACGGGAGGCAGCAGUGGGGAAUUUUGGACAAUGGGGGCAACCCUGAUCCAGCCAUGCCGCGUGAGUGAAGAAGGCCUUCGAGUUGUAAAGCUCUUUCGGACGGAACGAAAUGGGCGGGACUAAUACUCCUGUCUGAUGACGGUACCGUAAGAAGAAGCACCGGCUAACUACGUG